rnacentral:rRNA from 1 species
AGAGUUUGAUCCUGGCUCAGGAUGAACGCUGGCGGCGUGCCUAACACAUGCAAGUCGAACGAAGCGUGCCGGAGGAAGUUUUCGGAUGGAAUCCGGGAUGACUGAGUGGCGGACGGGUGAGUAACGCGUGGGUAACCUGCCCUGUACAGGGGGACAACAGUUAGAAAUGACUGCUAAUACCGCAUAAGCGCACAGGAUCGCAUGGUCCGGUGUGAAAAACUCCGGUGGUACAGGAUGGACCCGCGUCUGAUUAGGUAGUUGGCGGGGUAACGGCCCACCAAGCCGACGAUCAGUAGCCGACCUGAGAGGGUGACCGGCCACAUUGGGACUGAGACACGGCCCAAACUCCUACGGGAGGCAGCAGUGGGGAAUAUUGCACAAUGGGGGGAACCCUGAUGCAGCGACGCCGCGUGAGUGAAGAAGUAUUUCGGUAUGUAAAGCUCUAUCAGCAGGGAAGAAAAUGACGGUACCUGACUAAGAAGCCCCGGCUAACUACGUG